rnacentral:rRNA from 1 species
GGAGUCUAGCAUGUGCGCGAGUCAUUGGGACUCUAACGAAACCUAAAGGCGUAAUGAAAGUGAAGGUUCGCCUCGCGCGAACCGAGGGAGGAUGGACGGUCGUCACUGGCCGUCCCGCACUCCCUGGGCGUCUCGUUCUCAUCGCGAGAAGAGGCGCACCAAGAGCGUACACGCUGGGACCCGAAAGAUGGUGAACUAUGCCUGGUCAGGACGAAGUCAGGGGAAACCCUGAUGGAGGUCCGUAGCGAUUCUGACGUGCAAAUCGAUCGUCGGAACUGGGUAUAGGGGCGAAAGACUAAUCGAACCAUCUAGUAGCUGGUUCCCUCCGAAGUUUCCCUCAGGAUAGCUGGCGCUCGCUUCUCGCGAGUCUCAUUCGGUAAAGCGAAUGAUUAGAGGCAUUGGGGUCGAAACGGCCUCAACCUAUUCUCAAACUUUAAAUGGGUGAGAUCUCCGGCUUGCUUGAACUAUGAAGCCGCGAGAUAUCGGAUCAGAGUGCCAAGUGGGCCACUUUUGGUAAGCAGAACUGGCGCUGUGGGAUGAACCAAACGCUGAGUUAAAGCGCCUAAAUCGACGCUUAUGGGAUACCAUGAAAGGCGUUGGUAACUUAAGACAGCAGGACGGUGGCCAU